rnacentral:misc_RNA from 1 species
GUUCCGUAGGUGAACCUGCGGAAGGAUCAUUAAAGAAUUUGCCCCGUCCUCUCGAGGAUGGGUCCUCUUCUAAACCGUGUAUACAUACCUUUGUUGCUUUGGCGGGCCGCCGUCUCGGCGUUGGCUUCGGCUGACUGUGCCCGCCAGAGAACCCCAACUCUUCUGUUUAGUAUUGUCUGAGUACUAUAUAAUAGUUAAAACUUUCAACAACGGAUCUCUUGGUUCUG